GGACUUUAUUAAUUUAAGAAGGACUCAAGAUGGGCGAUGCAAUGUCAAUGAUAGCAGCGGUUUUCCUGGGACUCCUUGCUUCGAAUCAGCUGAACCUUCCUUUGUGGUUGCUCGGUCGAAGUACUCAGAACUAUCUGAUUUUAGUCCGAUGGUUGAUUCACUGGGGGACGUGGCCGAUGAAGACACUUGGACAAAACUAAACAAGGGUUUUGUCCCAGACCUUGAUCAACUCCAGUUUACACCUGCAAUUAAAAGACAACCCACUCCAUUAAUUGCUGCAACCACGGUUAGUAGAUACAAAUACUUGACCCAUGUUAUCUUCCAAUAGUAACAGAGUUGCAAUGAAUAGAGACAUGUGGAUGCAUAUGGUCUAACAACUCUCAUUCAUCUUUUCUUUGGGGUUCUAGUCUCUUUAUUCGCUCCCCUUCUCAUAUCAGCUUGCACACAAACACUCUGGUGUAUCAAUACUGGCUGGUAUCUAGCUCAUGUAUACUGAGAAUUACUAAAUUUUGAAACUUCAUAUAGAUGAAUACAGAAUACGCAUACAUUAUCCAAAACAUGUUCCUAAGCUGGCCAUAAUUUUUCGUUAACUUUUUUUUAGGAAUGCUCGCGUGAAAAUCAGAAAGUGGUGGACGAUCUCAAAAGUCAGAUUGAGUUGCUGACCAGCGAAAAGGACAGCCUGCAGGUUAGACAUAUUGGCUUUAUUGGUUGUUCAAGUGAAUAUGCUUUAGCCUUUAGCCAUAAAAUGAAUAUUCUGUUAAAAAUUAAAUGAAUGAUACCAGCUGAUUGUUUAUGCAUCAACUAUGCAUUCUCAGGUAAAAUUCAGCGAACAAGUAGUACUGAACAACAAACUUUUGGGAGAGAUAUCUGAGCUCAAAGAAGGAACGCUUCACAUGAAAGAAAUUCCAAAACUGUUAUCUGAGUCGGUUGCUAAUUGCAAGGAUGUAUACAAGGACGUGAUAGUCACAAUGAAGGUGAACAGCUUACCUUUUCUUAUGUGAAUGAUCAUCACUAAAAGGAAAAUUGAGUUUAAAGUCUUUUGUCUUGCAUUUUGUCAGACCUUAAUGGCUGAGAAAGAAUCUCCGACAGCAAAGCUACUCUUUGGUGUAACUGGAAUCUCAACAAGCCUUCUUUCAACUCUAGAAUCACAAUUCUCAAUGAUAAUGGAUGGUCAGAAAGCGGGUAGCAUCGUAGAUUAUCCUUUAUAUGAUCAAUGGGAAACACUUCGUGUUAGUCUGAAGAACACAGCCACAAGCCUGCUGUUAGACGCACAAGCAAAAGAUGAAAUUCUUAACUCCCACGACAAGGUAGAUUCCUUGUCACAAUCAUCAAGAUACGGAUCAGUUUUACUUAUUGUUUCUUUCGUUUUGCUUUUAUACUUUUGUCUCUCUUUUUAUACUUUUGUCUCUCUUGUUAGGACUUAGUCCAGUGAAACCUCUGCAUACGUUUAGUGAGGCCGCCGACGCCGGAAUCAUCAUCAUCGGAGAACGGAUCUUCUCUCUGGAAAGUCGAAGACAAUCGCAUCUCUCUUCACAAGUCACUCGACACCCCAAUCUCAACCGCUUCUUACGCUUUCGGUACCAAAUCUUUCUCAAUCCAUUUAUUCGGGGUUUCGAUUUCUACGUAUCUGGGUAACUUCAAAAUCUCAUCUUUGUAAUCUCUGUGGUGUUUGUUCUUUUGCAGACCAUGUGUUCGACGAAAGGUCUACGAACGCAUGCGUCUACGAACUUCUCACCAAGGAUAUCAUUCAUGCUGCCGUCGAGGGUUUUAACGGUAUUCGGAUCUGAUCCAAACCUUAAUAACAAAAAACGCGAGGUUAAUUUGGUUUUGAGUUUCUUGAUGUAUGGUUUUGUUCAGGUACUGCGUUUGCUUAUGGGCAAACUAGUAGUGGAAAGACGUUUACAAUGACGGGUUCUGAGACUGAUCCAGGGAUUAUUCGAAGAUCUGUCAGAGAUGUGUUUGAUAGAAUACAAAUGGUAGAUCAAUUGAAUGAUUCGGUGAGUUUUUAUAACUAAAGAGUUCAGUUUUUUAACUUGUGUGUGUGUUGAUGAUCUUUAGAUAUCGGACCGUGAGUUUCUCAUCCGGGUUUCGUACAUGGAGAUUUAUAAUGAAGAAAUUAAUGAUCUUUUAGCUGUUGAGAACCAGAGACUGCAAAUUCAUGAACAUUUGGAGGUUGGUUUGAUGGAACGUCUACACAAGUGAUGUUACAUCAUUUAGUUUUGCUCAAGUGUUACUAAACCGGUUUGCUUGUCUUUGAUGUGCAGCGUGGAGUGUUUGUUGCUGGUCUUAAGGAAGAGAUUGUUAGUGACGCUGAACAGAUUCUAAAGCUUUUAGACUCUGGAGAAGGUUUUUAAGCCAAAGCUAAGCUAAGAAGUAUUUUGAUUAUGCAUAAUAAUGUGUACUGACAUGGUCUUCUUUAAUUAACAGUUAAUAGGCACUUUGGCGAGACAAACAUGAACGUUCAUAGUAGCAGGUCCCAUACCAUCUUCAGAAUGGUAAGGGUUUUCAAAUCUAUGUACGGAAACUUCUACUGUUUUGUAAGUGAUUAUUUUGAUCUGAUCUCUCUGGUGGGAUAGGUGAUUGAGAGCAGGGGAAAAGAAAACUCUUCUACGGAUGCUAUCCGUGUCUCAGUCUUGGUGAGUGAUAAUUUUACCAUCUUCCAAAAGUUUCUUUUGGAAGCUACAUUUAAAUGAUAAUUCUCUUACUGGUGUUCUGGAAUCUAGAAUUUGGUUGACUUGGCUGGAUCUGAGCGUAUUGCUAAAACCGGUGCUGGUGGAGUGCGCUUGACAGAAGGGAAGUACAUUAAUAAGAGCUUAAUGAUUCUUGGUAAUGUUAUCAAUAAGCUAAGUGAAAGUUCAAAGCUAAGGUACUUUCUUACCCUUUCAUUUAGCUACACGUAACAACGAUACAGCUCAGCUCAUUUCUUACAUUCUUGAUUAUAGGGCACAUAUUCCUUACCGAGACAGUAAGCUAACUAGAAUUCUUCAGCCUGCACUUGGUGGUAAUGCCAAGACUUGCAUUAUAUGCACUAUCGCACCAGAAGAGGUAAAAGAAGUUUUCUUUUUGUCUGGUUUUGCAUUUUCCUGGCUUUUGUUAAUCAUGUACACGAAAUAUUAGUCAAUUAAUGAGUAAUAGUUGAAUGCUCAUGUGUGUAGCAUCAUAUUGAGGAAUCAAAAGGAACUCUCCAAUUUGCAAGCAGAGCCAAACGCAUCACCAACUGUGCUCAAAUUAAUGAGGUCAGCCUGUCAAUGAGCGCAAGAUUCUUGGGAGAGAUUUAACUCACUUUCUUCUUUGUGUCCUGUUGAUUGGUUUUUCUUCUUCUUCUUUAUUGAAUAUCUGACAGUGUUUCAAUGCUUCAGAUCUUGACUGAUGCUGCUUUGUUGAAACGCCAAAAAUUAGAGAUAGAAGAACUAAGGAUGAAGCUUCAGGUAUAGUCAACUUUUAUUUCAAAUACAUCUAGGCAUGGGGACAACACUAACAUUACUAAAUUUUGUAGGGAUCCCAUGCUGAGGUGUUGGAACAAGAGAUAUUAAAGUUAAGCAAUCAGAUGCUUAAGGUAGUUUUUUUGCAUUUUUCUCUUGUGUAUGUAUUCUAUAGAACAUUGAGCAGACACAGUAUACUAAACAUCUACCCUUUUGUUUAAUUUCCAGUAUGAGCUAGAAUGUGAAAGGCUAAAAACACAACUGGAAGAAGAGAGAGGAAAACAGAAGGAGCAGGAGCAAUGCAUCAAGGAGCAACAGUUAAAAAUUGAGAACUUAAACAAUCUUGUCACUAAUUCAGACUAUAAGAAGAACCAGUCAGAGGUACAUAUGCAUUCAUUGGCUUAGAUAGAUUUUCUGAAUAAUGCCUCAACCAUAACACCCAGACAUUUUUCUGAGAAACAGGCUUUAAUUUGCAAACUCCUAACAUCUUAUUGAGAUUGUUAGAGAAGUUAAUUAUUGCUUUUAUGCUAAUGUGUUGGACUCAUGUAGUUUGGUUAUGUAAAGCUUUUGUUAAUGUAACAUCUCUACUGGCAGGACUUUAUUAAUUUAAGAAGGACUCAAGAUGGGCGAUGCAAUGUCAAUGAUAGCAGCGGUUUUCCUGGGACUCCUUGCUUCGAAUCAGCUGAACCUUCCUUUGUGGUUGCUCGGUCGAAGUACUCAGGACUAUCUGAUUUUAGUCCAAUGGUUGAUUCACUGGGGGACGUGGCCGAUGAAGACACUUGGACAAAACUAAACAAGGGUUUUGUCCCAGACCUUGAUCAACUCCAGUUUACACCUGCAAUUAAAAGACAACCCACUCCAUUAAUUGCUGCAACCACG
rnacentral:lncRNA from 1 species